GCUUGGACAAAACGUCUAGAGCCACAGCAUUCCUAGCUGGCUCUCCCCUUGAACACUGAGCAGAAGGCUGGGGCUGAGGGAGACACAGUUAGAGGGGAAGGCAGGCUGGAGGAGAGGAAGAGGCAGGGAGAGGGAGGCGAACCGGGGCCGGGGUACGAGCUCCGAGCCCGGGGCUUUAAAGGGCGACAGGACAUGGGAGAGACUAGGCAAGAAAGUGGGGAAAAUUUGGGAAGGGGGGGGGGGUAAAGAUGGGAUGGUGGGAGGAAGGUAAGAGAGGUGGAGGCUUGAGGAGAGGCCGGAAAAAUGGUAGGCUUAGAGGAAGGAUGCAAAAAGACAGUGGAAGGGGGAGGAGGUGGGGGCCAGGUGAGGCAGGAAGACAGGAAAUUAGGAGGUGAUGUCAGAUGAGUGAAAAAAAUAAGUUUCAGGCUGAAGAAGGUGAUAAAGAUGAGGAUAACUUUGGGAAAAAGUCAGCCACAAAAGAGGCUAAAACUAACAAAAAACCCAGCAAAAACAGUCCAAGUUUAGGAGUAGAGAGAGUGUUUUGCUUUCCCUGCCAUGGAUGUAAUACUGGUUUGGAUGGCAGCCGGUGUCCAAUCAGACGACAGGACUACAGGCCUUGUCAUAAUGACAACCAUGACAUCACAGCAAGGGCUAGCGGAGAGAAGACAGCGGAGCUCCAGACAGACCGCGGGGCUGAGCGGGGACGCACGCCGGCCAGAGCGCACCGGCUGCCGGAUCCAAAACGCGCGGACUACCGGAGUGGGAUGGGUGACGGUGGUGGAUGCGGGGUGAGGGGGUGGGGAGGCGGACAUGCGGAAAGGCAUAUUUCGCAACCGGCGACUGGAGCUCUGCCCCGGACAGACUGAGGCUGCUUCACCGAUGGGAAACGAGUGGAAAAUAUGGAGGAGGUUGAGCGAAAUGGCAUCUUGUUUUACUUCUGCCAAUCAAGACGAGAGGAAGACAAGUCCCAAACUGGCAUGUCUGCAUGCGGAUGGCCCCUUCCAGACAAAGUUUGUUGCCAGUUUCCUCUAAAGGGGAAGAUUUUUCCACCAAAAUGCGCAAGAUUUCCAGUGAUGUAACAGCAGAAUGAAGAUCAAGAUUAAGAAACCAGGACACCACGUGGACCGGAUGGAAAACGGGAACUGGUUUAGGGGGAACCGGAUACUAUCACUGAGGAGGUUCUGCUUGGAUCGCCGCCACCAAGACUCAACUCUGUAAAAUGACGGAAGGAUGAACGAGGAGCGACGGCGGCUGUAAUCUCCACUGUUCAAUUAGCUGCACUGACCGGGACGCCACCUACACUUCAUUAGCAGAGAGGGGAAGGUGAUGCUGAUGGUGUGUCAUCAAACCAGCAGGAGAGCAGGAGAUGGAGAAGAUGCUGACACACUUACACACACUUACACACAGAGAGUCAGAGAACACACCGGUAGUAAAAAUGAAGGCUUGCUGUCGGUGGUGUGAGCCAUUUCCAGGUGAAGCAAACUGAAUUAAAGUGAAUCGAGCUGAACUCAUCUGAACUGGAAUGACCUGAACUGAACUGAAAAGAAGGUUUCAGCCUGACCGGACACACGGCUCUUUGAGGUUUUCAGAAAAAAAGUGAUGUGAACACUGAAGUACUUUGAAUACAGAUGAAACAAAACCACAACACUGCUUUCACUUCAGGAUCCCACUGGUUUUUAUGUUCACUUUAAACAGAAACAUAACACAGUGCUUCAGUGAAGUUCUGGGACUGUAGAUCAUCUAUUUUUAAA